UACGUAGGUGGCGAGCGUUGUCCGGAUUUACUGGGCGUAAAGGGCGCGUAGGCGGCCUUGUAAGUCCUGUGUGAAAUCCCCCGGCUCAACUGGGGAACUGCACAGGAGACUGCUUGGCUUGAGUUCGGGAGAGGGAAGCGGAAUUCCGGGUGUAGCGGUGAAAUGCGUAGAUAUCCGGAGGAACACCGGUGGCGAAGGCGGCUUCCUGGACCGACACUGACGCUGAGGCGCGAAAGCCAGGGGAGCAAACGGG
rnacentral:rRNA from 1 species